CUGGUUUCAAGGAGCUCACCAGCUGGCUUGGAAGAAAAGGCACGAUAAGUACAAGAUCAUUAAAGAUACUAGACAGUGUAUAGUCAUGUGUGGCUCAAACCUUCAGGGUUCAGGAGAAUGAGUACAUCCUAUAAGCUGGGAGUCUGGGAAGCCACUCAGGACAGUAGGGCUGGUCUGGACCGUGUUUGAUGGGGCACUUCUUCAUGUCCUCUCCUUUUUGCACAUUUUCCAUGUCUUGUGUGUAGUCCUUGUCUCCACAGUACUUUCUGCUCCUGUUACAGAGAAGAGAUUUACCCGUGUUACUGCCAUCUAAUUUCAAGUCUCCAUGUGAUGGACAAGCUCUCAUCCCUGCUCUGCCUGGAAUGCCAUCUCUUAUCAACUAGCCUUGUCAAGUCUCCCUUCUGGAAUGUGAGCUCCUAAUUGGCAGGGAUCCUCUCUGUCAGAGGCCCUGUCUUCCCAACAUCCGGCUUGGUGCUUAUUGAUUGAAAGUGCAGCAUGCAGGACGCGCUCAGGAAGUUUCCACAAACUUCCCUGCACCUUCACUACCUUGGUCCCCAGGAUCCCACAGCUGCAGAAGUCAGGGUUCCAGGACUGGGCAAAGUAGAAGUGAAUUCUACGCAAGGAGCCAGUGGGUCUGAUUGUGACAGCACACUUUGGAGUCCUCAAAUGAGUUUUUCUUAAUAACAGUUUGGGAAACAUGAUCUUAUUAAUGCUUCUGUAUAAUUCUCCUCUCUCUCUCUGUGGUUGUAGCCAGUUAUUUUAUGUCAAAUAGAAUAAGCAGAGCUAUUCAUGUAAAAGUUUAAUGAAAGAAAAUCCGAGUUGAAUCUGUGUAUGUGAGGAAGGGAGUAUAAAGACAUAUGAAUUUUCAAGAAGUGAACUCUUCUCCAUAAGUGAUUUUUUCCCAUAUAUUUGUGAUCAUUUCUCAGAGAGAAACUUUUUUUUUUUUAAGAUUUUUUUUUUUCCUUUUUCUCCUCACCCCCCCCCCCCCCCCAGUACAUAGUUGUGUAUUCUUCGUUGUGGGUCCUUCUAGUUGUGGCAUGUGGGACGCCGCCUCAGCGUGGUUUGAUGAGCAAUGCCAUGUCUGCGCCCAGGAUUCGAACUGACGAAACACUGGGCUGCCUACAGCAGAGCGCGCAAAGUUAACCACUCGGCCACGGGGCCAGCCCCAGAGAGAAACCUUUUUAUAUUUUAAUCAUUUUUGGGUAGAAAUCUUUAAAACUUGCUUUUAUUCAUCAGCAGAUCCAAAUUAACCAUUCCUGAUCAGCCCUGAUGAUUCUAUGCUGUAAUAUAUGAAACAUGCAGAAACUACUGAAAGACCCCUGAGUAUUUGCCCAUGUGCUGAAACAUAAUGACGGUCCUUUCAUUUCUCCUGUGGAAAGCGGGGACAGU
rnacentral:lncRNA from 1 species